AGGUGGCCGCAGAGAAUAGGCCCAAGCGACUGUUUACCAAAAACAUAGGUUUCUGCUAAGUCGCAAGACGAUGUAUAGGAGCUGACGCCUGCCCGGUGCUGGAAGGUUAAGGGGAUCUGUUAGAGCAAUCGAAGCAGUGAACUUAAGCCCCAGUAAACGGCGGCCGUAACUAUAACGGUCCUAAGGUAGCGAAAUUCCUUGUCGGGUAAGUUCCGACCCGCACGAAAGGCGUAACGAUUUGGGCACUGUC
rnacentral:rRNA from 1 species